rnacentral:rRNA from 1 species
GCUCCCAUGGCGCCUGUUUAUCAAAAACAUGGUUGCUUGGAAUUAUAAGGAAUCUGGCCUGCUCACUGCUUAGGUAAAGGGCCGCAGUACUGUGACUGUGCUAAGGUAGCAUAAUCAUUUGUCUUCUAAAUGAAGUCUGGAAUGAAAGGUUGGAUCGAAGGGGACACUGUCUCUUUAUUAGAGGAUGAACUUAAUUAGUGAGUAAAAAGGCUAAUAUGAACCUGAAAGACGAUAAGACCCUAUUAAGCUUGAUUUAAACAAUUUUACUGGGGCGGUAGGAUAAGAAUGAAAUCUUAUUUGUGAGGAAUUGAAGAUUAAGACCCAAUAUUAUUGAGGUAAAGAUAAAGUUACUAUAGGGAUAACAGCUUAAUUUCUCCUUGAAGAUCUUAUUUAGGGGGGAGUUUGAGACCUCGAUGUUGAAUUAAAGUGUUAUAUAUGCGCAGUAGCCUAUAUUGUAAGUCUGUUCGACUUUUAAAAUUUUACGUGAUCUGAGUUCAGACCGGCCAUGG